rnacentral:rRNA from 1 species
UACGUAGGGCGCAAGCGUUGUCCGGAAUUAUUGGGCGUAAAGAGCUCGUAGGCGGUUUGUUGCGUCGGCUGUGAAAUCCCGAGGCUCAACCUCGGGUCUGCAGUCGAUACGAGCAAACUAGAGUGUUGCAGGGGAGACUGGAAUUCCUGGUGUAGCGGUGAAAUGCGCAGAUAUCAGGAGGAACACCGGUGGCGAAGGCGGUUCUCUGGGCAUUACCUGACGCUGAGGAGCGAAAGUGUGGGGAGCGAACAGG